rnacentral:lncRNA from 10 species
ACCGGGUUUCCCUAUGUUGCCCAGGCUGGUCUCUAACUCCUGGCCUCAAGCGAUCCUCCCGCCUAGUUCUCCCCAAGUGUUGGGAUUACAGGCGUGAGCCACCGAGCCCCACCUUGCCAUUUUGUCGUUGUUGUUGUUGGAAUUAUGGUUUACACACAGCAACGUGCAAAUAUCUUAGAUGUACAGCUUAUGUGACCACCACCACUUCAGAUACAGAACAUUUUCAGCACACCAGAGUUUCCCUCAGGCAAAAGAAAACAGAGGCGAUCACUGUUCUUUUACCACCAUAGGUUGGUUUUGCUUAUUCUUGAACAUCAUUUUAAAACGGCACGUAGGCCGGGCGCAGUGGCUCAUGCCUAAUCCCAACACUAUUGGGAGGCCGAGGUGCUCAGAUCGCUUGAGCCCAGGAGUUUGAGACCAGGAGGUGGAAGCUGCGGUGAGCUGUGAUUACACCACCAUAUUCUACUCUGGGUGACAGAGUGAGACCUUGUCUCAAAAAAAAAAAAAAAAAAAAAAAGCUGGGUGUGGGGAGUGGUUAUCCUUGAGGAGAACUAACUGGGAAAGAGAACAAAGGACUCUUCUAAGAUGCUGGAUAUGGCCAGGCACAGUGGCUCAUGCCUGUAAUCCCAGCACUUUGGGAGGCGGAGGUGGGCAGGAGUUUGAAACCAGCCUGGCCAACAUGGGGAAACCCUGUCUCUACUAGAAAUACAAAAACUAGCUGGGCAUGCUGGCAGGCACCUGUAAUCCCAGCUACUCGGGAGGCUGAGACAGGAGAAUCGCUUGAAUUCAGGAGGUGGCGGUUGUAGUGAGCCGGAGGUUGCACCAUUGCACUCCAACCUGGGCAACAGAGUAAGACUCCGUCUCAAAGAAAAAAAAAGAUACUGGAUAUGUUCUCUACAUUAUCUUGAUCUGGGUGGUAGUUAUGGAGCCUCUUCCUUCAAUGUGAAAACUUGUGCACCUCUCUCUUUUC